rnacentral:rRNA from 1 species
CGCCUUGCCAGCCCGCUCAGAAACUUAAAGGAAUUGACGGGACCCCGCACAAGCGGUGGAUCAUGUUGUUUAAUUCGAUGAUACGCGAAGAACCUUACCAGGUCUUGACAUCCCCCGCGAUGCUUUAGAGAUAAAGCGGAGGUAUUCGGGGAGACAGGUGGUGCAUGGUUGUCGUCAGCUCGUGUCGUGAGAUGUUGGGUUAAGUCCCGCAACGAGCGCAACCCCUAUUGCUAGUUACCAUCAUUAAGUUGGGGACUCUAGCGAGACUGCCAGUGAUAAACUGGAGGAAGGUGGGGAUGACGUCAAAUCAUCAUGCCCCUUAUGACCUGGGCUACAAACGUGAUACAAUGGCUGGAACAAAGGGAUGCGAAGCAGUGAUGUGGAGCGAAACCCAUAAAAACAGUCUCAGUUCGGAUUGAAGUCUGCAACUCGACUUCAUGAAGUCGGAAUCGCUAGUAAUCGCGGAUCAGAACGCCGCGGUGAAUACGUUCUCGGGGUUU